UGGGGAAUAUUGGACAAUGGGCGAAAGCCUGAUCCAGCCAUGCCGCGUGUGUGAAGAAGGUCUUCGGAUUGUAAAGCACCUUAAGUUGGGAGGAAGGGCAGUAAGCGAAUACCUUGCUGUUUUGACGUUACCGACAGAAUAAGCACCGGCUAACUCUGUGCCAGCAGCCGCGGUAAUACAGAGGGUGCAAGCGUUAAUCGGAAUUACUGGGCGUAAAGCGCGCGUAGGUGGUUCGUUAAGUUGAAUGUGAAAGCCCCGGGCUCAACCUGGGAACUGCAUCCAAAACUGGCGAGCUAGAGUAGGGCAGAGGGUGGUGGAAGUUCCUGUGUAGCGGUGAAAUGCGUAGAUAUAGGAAGGAACACCAGUGGCGAAGGCGACAACCUGGGCUCAUACUGACACUGAGGUGCGAAAGCGUGGGGAGCAAACAGG
rnacentral:rRNA from 1 species